AUUGAACGCUGGCGGAAUGCUUUACACAUGCAAGUCGAACGGCAGCACGGACUUCGGUCGGGUGGCGAGUGGCGAACGGGUGAGUAAUGUAUCGGAACGUGCCCAGUCGUGGGGGAUAACGUAGUGAAAAUUACGCUAAUACCGCAUACGAACUAUGGAUGAAAGCGGGGGAUCGCAAGACCUCGCGCGAUUGGAGCGGCCGAUAACAGAUUAGGUAGUUGGUGGGGUAAAGGCCCACCAAGCCAACGAUCCGUAGCUGGUCUGAAAGGACGACCGGCCACACGCGAACGAAGAGAGACUCCAGACUCCUGCGGGCGGCAGCAGUGGGGGAUGUUGGACAAGGGGCGAACGCAUGACCGAGCCAUUCCGCGUGCAGGAUGAAUGCCGUCGGGUUGUAAACUGCUUUGUACAGAACGAAAAGGUUUCUACUAAUACUAGGAGCUCAUGACGGUACUGUAAGAAUAAGCACCGGCUAACUACGUGCCAGCCGCCGCCGUAA
rnacentral:rRNA from 1 species